GGAGAAGUAAAUUAUUUAUGCCAGUUUCAUCACCCUAACCUUGUCAAGCUGAUUGGCUACUAUCUAGAAGAUGACCAUCGCCUUCUGGACUAUGAAUUUUUGCAAAGAGAGGGUCUUGAGAACCAUCUGUUCAGAAAAUAUGUGAUUACUAAAUUACUUCAAUGUUGGAGCUGGAGGAUCAUGUUUUUAAUCAAUUUCCUAGAAACUUUGAAUGAAGAUUGCAGUGGGGGCUGCGAGAGAACUGGCAUUUCCGCAUGGUGCUAAAAUAUACGUCAUUUAUCGUGAUUUUAAGCUUUCUAAUAUACUACUUGAUUCAGUAUGUGGAGUUAUUAGCUAAAUUUCUACCUUUCUUUCCUGUCAGUGAUGUCAGUAUCGUUAUUCGUAAUUGCUUGUGAGGCAAUUGUUAAAGCAUGAAAGAAUAUAGACAUUGUAUGCCUGCUGGAUGUUGGCUAUUAUUAAGCUGCAAUGGCUAGUAAGGAGUUUCCAAUCCUUUUGUAUCAUACACUUUUUUUCCUGUGUAAUGCGAGUUAGUAGUAGAGGUGGAAGUUUGUAAACCUUUUUGGUUGCUUAAACAAUGUUAGAAGCCUGUAAGUUGAGAUUCCCCUAUCAAUUCUUUAUGAUUGUCAUUA